rnacentral:rRNA from 1 species
GCCGCGGUAAUUCCAGCUCCAAUAGCGUAUAUUAAAGUUGUUGCAGUUAAAAAGCUCGUAGUUGGAUCUCAGGCACUAGCAUGUGGUACGCUUAACUGCUGUUACUACAUGUCUGGUCCUAAUCAAUCGGUUGGCCGUUGAUGCCCUUUAUUGGGUGUUUUCGGUAGCCGAUACGUUUACUUUGAGAAAAUUAGAGUGCUUAAAGCAGGCUAUACGCCUGAAUAAUGUUGCAUGGAAUAAUAGAAUAGGACCUCGGUUCUAUUUUGUUGGUUUUGUAGAGCAUUGAGGUAAUGAUUAAUAGGGACAGACGGGGGAAUUCGUAUUGCGGUGUUAGAGGUGAAAUUCUUGGGUCGCCGCAAGACGAACAACUGCGAAAGCAUUUGCCAAGAAUGUUUUCAUUAAUCAAGAACGAAAGUUGGAGGUUCGAAGACGAUUAGAUACCGUCCUAGUUCCAACCAUAAACGAUGCCAACUAGCGAUUAGCUGCUGUUAAUUAAACGACACAGCUAGCAGCUUCCGGGAAACCAAAGUUUUUGGGUUCCGGGGGAAGUAUGGUUGCAAAGCUGAAACUUAAAGGAAUUGACGGAAGGGCACCACCAGGAGUGGAGCCUGCGGCUUAAUUUGACUCAACACGGGAAAUCUCACCCGGCCCGGACACUGUAAGGAUUGACAGAUUGAGGGCUCUUUCUUGAUUCGGUGGGUGGUGGUGCAUGGCCGUUCUUAGUUGGUGGAGCGAUUUGUCUGGUUAAUUCCGAUAACGAACGAGACUCUAGCCUGCUAAAUAGUACGCCGAUCUCUAGUCGGCGCGUACUUCUUAGAGGGACAAGUAGCGGUUAGCUACACGAAAUUGAGCAAUAACAGGUCUGUGAUGCCCUUAGAUGUUCGGGGCCGCACGCGCGCUACACUGAAGGGAUAAGCGUGUUCUUCCUGUUCCGAAAGGAAUGGGUAAUCCGCUGAAACCCCUUCGUGAUUGGGAUCGGGGCUUGAGAUUAUUCUCCGUGAACGAGGAAUUCCUAGUAAGCGCGAGUCACUAGCUUGCGUUGAUUACGUCCCUGCCCUUUGUACACACCGCCCGUCGCUACUACCGAUUGAAUGGUUUAGUGAGAUCUUCGGAUUGGUCCGGAGGUGCCGCAAGGUUGCCUCUAGGUUCCGAGAAGAUGAUCAAACUUGAUCAUUUAGAGGAAGUAAAAGUC